ACGAACGCUGGCGGCGUGCCUAAUACAUGCAAGUCGAGCGGACGAAUCGAAAGCUUGCUUUUGAUUCGUUAGCGGCGGACGGGUGAGUAACACGUGGGCAACCUGCCCUGUAGACGGGGAUAACACCGAGAAAUCGGUGCUAAUACCGGAUAACACGAAAUGUCGCAUGACGUUUCGUUGAAAGACGGCGCAAGCUGUCGCUACAGGAUGGGCCCGCGGCGCAUUAGCUAGUUGGUGAGGUAACGGCUCACCAAGGCGACGAUGCGUAGCCGACCUGAGAGGGUGAUCGGCCACACUGGGACUGAGACACGGCCCAGACUCCUACGGGAGGCAGCAGUAGGGAAUCUUCCGCAAUGGACGAAAGUCUGACGGAGCGACGCCGCGUGAGCGAAGAAGGCCUUCGGGUCGUAAAGCUCUGUUGUUAGGGAAGAACAAGUAACGCAGUAACUGGCGUUACCGUGACGGUACCUAACGAGAAAGCCACGGCUAACUACGUG
rnacentral:rRNA from 1 species